CGUGUAGGCGGUUUUCUAAGUCUGGUGUGAAAGCCCGGGGCUCACCCCCGGAAGUGCACUGGAUACUGGGAGACUUGAGUACCGGAGAGGAGGGUGGAAUUCCUGGUGUAGCGGUGAAAUGCGUAGAUAUCAGGAGGAACACCGGUGGCGAAGGCGGCCCUCUGGACGGCUACUGACGCUGAGACGCGAAAGCGUGGGGAGCAAACA
rnacentral:rRNA from 1 species